AGUUUGUAAUUUGUGAUGAAGUCGCAAGAUGGAUUUUCGAAUUACGUUCUGGUCCUAGUGGCAAACGGGUGAGUAAUACUUGAACAAUCUGCCCUUAAGAGAGGGAUAACCUCGAGAAAUCGUGGCUAAUACCUCGUACAGCUCCCUGACGCGAGUCAGGGAAUGAAAGGGUGCCCGCAAGGGUAUCGCUUAGGGAUGAGUUCAUGGCCUAUUAGCUUGUUGGCGGGGUAACGGCCCACCAAGGCUAUGAUGGGUAGCUGGCCUGAAAGGGCGAUCAGCCACACUGGCACUGAGAUACGGGCCAGACUCCUACGGGAGGCAGCAGUGGGGAAUUUUGGACAAUGGGCGAAAGCCUGAUCCAGCAACGCCGCGUGAGGGAUGAAGGCCUUAGGGUCGUAAACCUUUUUUAUAGGGGAUGAGUACGCCGGGCAACCGGCGCCGGACAGUACUCUAUGAAUAAGCCACGGCUAACUACGUGCCAGCAGCCGCGGUAAUACGUAGGUGGCAAGCGUUACUCGGAUUUACUAGGUGUAAAGGGCAGGUAGGUGGUUUGGUAAGUUGGGGGUGAAAGCUCCGACACAAUCGGAGAGGUCUUCCAAUACUGCCAGACUUGAGUAAGGUAAGGGGAACCAGAAUUCCCGGUGUAGCGGUGAAAUGCGUAGAUAUCGGGAGGAAUACCGAUGGCGAAAGCGGGUUCCUGGGCCAUUACUGACACUGAUCUGCGAAAGCGUGGGGAGCAAACAGGAUUAGAUACCCUGGUAGUCCACGCCGUAAACGAUGGAAACUUGAUAUGGGAGGUAUCGACCCCUCCCGUGUCGUAGCUAACGCGUUAAGUUUCCCACCUGGGGACUACGGCCGCAAGGUUGAAACUCAAAGAAAUUGACGGGGGCCCGCACAAGCGGUGGAGCAUGUGGUUUAAUUCGACACAACGCGAGGAACCUUACCUGGGCUUGAAGUGCUGGUUGUACCCUUACGAAAGAUAAGGGGACCCGCAAGGGAGCCAGUAGAGGUGCUGCAUGGUUGUCGUCAGCUCGUGUCGUGAGAUGUAUGGUUAAGUCCCAUAACGAGCGCAACCCUUGUCUCAUGUUGCUAAUCCGGCGCAAGCCGGAUGCACUCUUGAGAGACCGCCUCCGUUGAGGGGGAGGAAGAUGAGGAUGACGUCAAAUCAUCAUGGCCUUUAUGUCCAGGGCUACACACGUGCUACAAUGGCUACUACAGAUGGAACCCAACCCGCAAGGGGGAGGAAAACCGUUAAAAGUAGCCCCAGUUCAGAUUGAGGGCUGCAACUCGUCCUCAUGAAGUUGGAAUCGCUAGUAAUCGCUGAUCAGCAGGCAGCGGUGAAUACGUUCCCGGGCCUUGUACACACCGCCCGUCACACCAUGGAAGCUGUCUAUAACAGAAUCUCAGUGGUCUAUUGAGAGAAGUUAUGAUCAGUGACUGGGGUGAAGUCGUAACAAGGUAGACGUACGAGAACGUGC
rnacentral:rRNA from 1 species